GCGUCGGUGGUUCAGUGGUAGAAUACUCACCUCCCACACGAGCGAUCCGGGUUCGACUACCGGCCGACACA
rnacentral:tRNA from 1 species